rnacentral:rRNA from 1 species
CCUACGGGUGGCAGCAGUAGGGAAUUUUGCGCCAUGGGCGAAAGCCUGACGCAGCAACGCCGCGUGAUCGAGACGCCCUUCGGGGUGUAACGAUCUGUCCGUGGGGACGAAACUUUACGGUACCCACAGAGCAAGCACCGGCUAACUCCGUGCCAGCAGCCGCGGUAAUACGGGGGGUGCAAGCGUUGUCCGGAAUCAUUGGGCGUAAAGAGUUCGUAGGCGGCACGUAAAGUCUGGUGUUAAAGGCAGAGGCUCAACUUCUGUACGGCACUGGAUACUUGCGAGCUAGAGUGCAGGAGAGGAGAAUGGAAUUCCUAGUGUAGCGGUGAAAUGCGUAGAGAUUAGGAAGAACACCAGUGGCGAAGGCGAUUCUCUGGACUGUAACUGACGCUGAGGCUCGAAAGCGUGGGGAGCAAACAGGAUUAGAUACCCCAGUAGUC